rnacentral:rRNA from 1 species
AGUGAACGCUGGCGAUAGGCCUAACACAUGCAAGUCGAACGGCAGCACAGUAAGAGCUUGCUCUUACGGGUGGCGAGUGGCGGACGGGUGAGGAAUACAUCGGAAUCUACUUUUUCGUGGGGGAUAACGUAGGGAAACUUACGCUAAUACCGCAUACGACCUACGGGUGAAAGCAGGGGAUCUUCGGACCUUGCGCGAUUGAAUGAGCCGAUGUCGGAUUGGCUAGUUGGCGGGGUAAAGGCCCACCAAGGCGACGAUCCGUAGCUGGUCUGAGAGGAUGAUCAGCCACACUGGAACUGAGACACGGUCCAGACUCCUACGGGAGGCAGCAGUGGGGAAUAUUGGACAAUGGGCGCAAGCCUGAUCCAGCCGUACCGCGUGGGUGAAGAAGGCCUUCGGGUUGUAAAGCCCUUUUGUUGGGAAAGAAAAGCAGCAGGUUAAUACCCCGCUGUUCUGACGGUACCCAAAGAAUAAGCACCGGCUAACUUCGUG